UACGGAGGAUCCGAGCGUUAUCCGGAUUUAUUGGGUUUAAAGGGUGCGUAGGCGGCCUAUUAAGUCAGGGGUGAAAUACGGUGGCUCAACCAUCGCAGUGCCUUUGAUACUGAUGGGCUUGAAUCCAUUUGAAGUGGGCGGAAUAAGACAAGUAGCGGUGAAAUGCAUAGAUAUGUCUUAGAACUCCGAUUGCGAAGGCAGCUCACUAAGCUGGUAUUGACGCUGAGGCACGAAAGCGUGGGGAUCAAACAGG
rnacentral:rRNA from 1 species